rnacentral:rRNA from 1 species
GAUUGAACGCUGGCGGCAGGCCUAACACAUGCAAGUCGAACGGUAACAGGAAACAGCUUGCUGUUUCGCUGACGAGUGGCGGACGGGUGAGUAAUGUCUGGGAAACUGCCUGAUGGAGGGGGAUAACUACUGGAAACGGUAGCUAAUACCGCAUAACGUCGCAAGACCAAAGAGGGGGACCUUCGGGCCUCUUGCCAUCGGAUGUGCCCAGAUGGGAUUAGCUAGUAGGUGGGGUAACGGCUCACCUAGGCGACGAUCCCUAGCUGGUCUGAGAGGAUGACCAGCCACACUGGAACUGAGACACGGUCCAGACUCCUACGGGAGGCAGCAGUGGGGAAUAUUGCACAAUGGGCGCAAGCCUGAUGCAGCCAUGCCGCGUGUAUGAAGAAGGCCUUCGGGUUGUAAAGUACUUUCAGCGGGGAGGAAGGGAGUAAAGUUAAUACCUUUGCUCAUUGACGUUACCCGCAGAAGAAGCACCGGCUAACUCCGU